GGCAGGACUAACACAUGCAGUCGAGCGAGAACUUCGGUUCUAGCGGCGGACGGGUUAGUAACGCGUGGGAACGUGCCCUUCACUACGGAAUAGUCCCGGGAAACUGGGUUUAAUACCGUAUACGCCCUUCGGGGGAAAGAAUUUCGGUGAAGGAUCGGCCCGCGUUAGAUUAGAUAGUUGGUGGGGUAACGGCCUACCAAGUCUACGAUCUAUAGCUGGUUUUAGAGGAUGAUCAGCAACACUGGGACUGAGACACGGCCCAGACUCCUACGGGAGGCAGCAGUGGGGAAUCUUAGACAAUGGGCGCAAGCCUGAUCUAGCCAUGCCGCGUGAGUGAUGAAGGCCUUAGGGUCGUAAAGCUCUUUCGCCAGGGAUGAUAAUGACAGUACCUGGUAAAGAAACCCCGGCUAACUCCGUGCCAGCAGCCGCGGUAAUACGGAGGGGGUUAGCGUUGUUCGGAAUUACUGGGCGUAAAGCGCGCGUAGGCGGAUUGGAAAGUUGGGGGUGAAAUCCCAGGGCUCAACCCUGGAACUGCCUCCAAAACUAUCAGUCUAGAGUUCGAGAGAGGUGAGUGGAACUCCGAGUGUAGAGGUGAAAUUCGUAGAUAUUCGGAAGAACACCAGUGGCGAAGGCGGCUCACUGGCUCGAUACUGACGCUGAGGUGCGAAAGUGUGGGGAGCAAACAGGAUUAGAUACCCUGGUAGUCCACA
rnacentral:rRNA from 1 species